AGUGAGAAUGCCGGAAUGAGUAGCGAGAAUUAUGUGAGAAUCAUAAUGGCCGAAAAUCUAAGGUUUCCUGAGGAAGGUUCGUCCGCUCAGGGUAAGCCGGGAGCUAAGGCGAGGCGGAGACGCGUAGCCGAUGCACAUACGGUUGAAAUUCCGUAGCCACCGAAAGAUUUAAGUACAGGGACGCUUUAGAAGUGAUGUUGCCGGGCGAUGGUUGACCCGGUCGUAAGGGAUCGAAAAUGAGUAGAGAAGUCAUCAUGGAAAGAGACAAGAAAAGCUGUAUGAAUAUCUUAGGUGCCCGUACCGCAAACCGACACAGGUAGAUAGGAAGAAGAUUCUAAGGCCAACGGGAGAAGGGUUGUUAAGGAACUCGGCAAGUUGACCCCGUAACUUAGGGAUAAGGGGUGCUCAAGUGAUUGAGCCGCAGAGAAUAGGCCCAGGCGACUGUUUAGCAAAAACACAGGUCUCUGCUAAAUCGAAAGAUGACGUAUAGGGGCUGACACCUGCCCGGUGCCGGAAGGUUAAGAGGAGAUGUGAGAGCAUUGAAUUGAAGCCCCGGUAAACGGCGGCCGUAACUAUAACGGUCCUAAGGUAGCGAAAUUCCUUGUCAGGUAAGUUCUGACCCGCACGAAAGGUGUAACGAUCUGGGCACUGUCUCAACAACCCGCCCGGCGAAAUUGUAGUACCGGUGAAGAUGCCGGUUACCCGCGACUAGACGGAAAGACCCCAUGGAGCUUUACUGUAGCCUAAUAUUGGAUUUCGGUAUUUCACGUACAGGAUAGGUGGGAGACUGGGAAGCACAGGCGUCAGCUUGUGUGGAGUCGACCUUGGGAUACCACUCUUGGAGUGCUGGAAUUCUAACCUGCGGCUUUGAAGCAAGUCGGGGGACAUUGUUAGGUGGGCAGUUUGACUGGGGCGGUCGCCUCCUAAAGAGUAACGGAGGCGUUCAAAGGUUCGCUCAGCUUGAACGGAAAUCAAGCAAAAGAGUGCAAACGCAGAAGCGAGCCUAACUGCGAGACUGACGGGUCGAGCAGUAACGAAAGUUGGAGUUAGUGAUCCGGCGGUAUGUGAAUGGAAAUGCCGUCGCUCAACGGAUAAAAGCUACCCUGGGGAUAACAGGCUGAUCUCCCCCAAGAGUCCACAUCGACGGGGAGGUUUGGCACCUCGAUGUCGGCUCAUCGCAUCCUGGGGCUGAAUUCGGUCCCAAGGGUUUGGCUGUUCGCCAAUUAAAGCGGUACGCGAGCUGGGUUCAGAACGUCGUGAGACAGUUCGGUCCCUAUCUGUCGUGGGCGUAGGAUAUUUGCAAGGAGCUGUCCCUAGUACGAGAGGACCGGGAUGGACGCACCUCUGGUGCACCAGUUGUCACGCCAGUGGCACAGCUGGGCAGCUAUGUGCGGAACGGAUAAACGCUGAAGGCAUCUAAGCGUGAAGCCGCCCUUAAGAUAAGAUAUCCCUUCUGUUUACAGAGUAAGACCCCUUGAAGACUACAAGGUUGAUAGGCUCAAAGUGUAAGCACGGUGACGUGUUUAGCUAGCGAGUACUAAUCGGUCGAGGGCUUAACCU
rnacentral:rRNA from 1 species